rnacentral:tRNA from 1 species
GCCAGCGUAGCUCAGUGGUAGAGCAGCUGAUUCGUAAUCAGCAGGUCAAGGGUUCAACCCCCUUCGCUGGCUUCA